rnacentral:rRNA from 1 species
AUGAACGCUAGCGACAGGCUUAACACAUGCAAGUCGAGGGGUAACAGGGUAGCAAUACCGCUGACGACCGGCGCACGGGUGAGUAACGCGUAUGCAACCUGCCUAUAACGUGGGGAAUAGCUCCCUGAAAGGGGGAAUUAACACCGCAUAACACUAUUGAUUCGCAUGGAUUAGUAGUUAAAUGUAGCGAUACAGGUUAUAGAUGGGCAUGCGUGACAUUAGCUAGUUGGUGAGGUAACGGCUCACCAAGGCUACGAUGUCUAGGGGUUCUGAGAGGAAGGUCCCCCCACACUGGUACUGAGACACGGACCAGACUCCUACGGGAGGCAGCAGUGAGGAAUAUUGGUCAAUGGGCGCAAGCCUGAACCAGCCAUGUCGCGUGCAGGAAGACUCGCCCUAGUGGGUUAGUAAACUGUCUUUUAUAGUAGAAGAAACACAUCUACGCGUAGAUGUCUGCCAGUAUACUAUGAAUAAGCAUCGGCUAACUCCGUGCCAGCCGCUGC